UAUUGGACAAUGGGGGCAACCCUGAUCCAGCAAUGCCGCGUGUGUGAAGAAGGCCUGAGGGUUGUAAAGCACUUUCAGUGGGGAGGAAAGGUUUUUGGUUAAUAGCUAGAGACUGUGACGUUACCCACAGAAGAAGCACCGGCUAACUCCGUGCCAGCAGCCGCGGUAAUACGGAGGGUGCAAGCGUUAAUCGGAAUUACUGGGCGUAAAGGGUGCGUAGGUUGUUAGCUAAGUUAUCUGUAAAAUCCCUGGGCUUAACCUGGGCAGGUCAGAUAAGACUGGUUGACUAGAGUAUGGGAGAGGGUAGUGGAAUUUCCGGUGUAGCGGUGAAAUGCGUAGAGAUCGGAAGGAACACCAGUGGCGAAGGCGGCUACCUGGCCUAAUACUGACACUGAGCACGAA
rnacentral:rRNA from 1 species